UAAACAGAUUACUGACUUUACGUUUUUCUGCAGUUAACAUUGCAUACAUUUUCUGGAGGGUCUCGGGCGACUCAGCGCCCGCCGCCGCCCUCCCCUCUCCUCCGUCGCUGCCUGGAUUUUGGCCGCCGUCGAGGCGGCCCCAGCCAGAUCCUUCGCCCUCUCCCCUGGAUCCGGCGUCUCGUGCCAGAUCUCAGUGGAGCUCCGCCGCCACCGCUUCUCCACCUCUCCGUCGACGGAGGCGGUUGCUGAGCGCGGGUUCGUGCGCCGGACGACGGUGGCAAGGUCCUCCUCGAGCCUGUGGCUCCUGCUCCCUCUCACCCCCAGGCGCCGUCCGACGGCCCAGGUCCGGCGCCCUCAGCCAGAUCCGCGGCCUCCGACCGCGUGCGCCGUUGGUUUGACCUGCCUCGAGGAUCCGCUUCCGUCUCAAGGCUCGGCCCUUCGCAGGAUCCUCAGCCUUGAUCCGGUUCUGUGCCUCUUCUUCUUCUUUUCUCCGUUUUUCCUUGUUACUCCCUCCGUUCCAUAAUUCUUGUCUCAAAUUUGCCCAAAAUGGAUGUAUCUAUUCCUAAAAAGUGUCUAGAUACAUGUAAUAUUUCGAUAAGAAUUAUGGAACGGAGGGAGUAGCAUUUAGUGUAAGUUUAGUCUAAGUUUGGAUAUGUUCAUCUUUUAUUUCUCUUAGGUUGUGUCACUCUGCAAUUUGCAGGUGAUAUCGUUUUCCUAUUGCAAUCUGAUCUAUAAUUGUGCUAGAAAUCUCAAUUUGUGCUUUGCCUUUUGAGCUAAUCAUGCAUGUUAUAGAGGUUUUUUGCUGUAGAUGUUUAAUGGAGUUGCUUGACUGAUCGAAAAAGAUAGAUUGUACUGGAAAUUGGAGCCUUGGGGCAAAUUUUCAGAAGAAAUCCGAUACUCGAGAGGUCCUGCUAAGGUGCUCUCGUUGGAUGUGGUGAGUCAUGGCUGAGGCCUUCCGGCAUUUAUUCAGAGGUUGAUGUUGUGAGCGGCUGGAAAAUUGGCAAUGCUGAUACAGAUGUUGUGGUGGUGAUGAAACUACAAGUGUUGGGUCUUUUUUUGGUUUUCUGUUGUAUUGAACCCAUGUGUAAAGUAGUGUGUUCAGCGUUUGAAUGUGCUGGCCUGUAGGGCUGGUGCUUUGAAGCCUAUGAGUGUUUAUCCUAAAUUAUGUAAAAGAUAUUAUGGUUUCCUUUAAUGAAACCGGGGGCAGCCCCUUUUGAUCAAAAAAAAAUUGCAUGCAU